rnacentral:rRNA from 1 species
GACAAAAAAUAACGAUACGGGACUCAUCCGAGGCCCCGUAAUCGGAAUGAGUACAUUCUUAAAUCCCUUAAUAAGGAUCUAUUAGAGGACCAGUCUGGUGCCAGCACCCGCGGUAAUUCCAGCUCUAAUAGCGUAUAUUAAAGUUGUUGCGGUUAAAAAGCUCGUAGUUGGUUCUGUGUGCCAUGCUGUUGGUUCACCGCCUGUCGGUGCAACUGACAUGUCAUGGGACGUCCUGUCGGUGGUAAUUAAAGCCCUAUCUAGUAGUUAAGCUUUGCUUACGUCAAUGUAGGCAACUUUAAUUCCCGAUUAAAUCCUGCCGCGGUCCUCUUUAUUGAGUGUCGAGGUGGGCCGACAUGUUUACUUUGAACAAAUUAGAGUGCUUAAAGCAGGCAUAAAUCUGCCUAAAUAGUGGUGCAUGGAAUAAUAGAAUAAGACCUUGGUUCUAUUUUGUUGGUUUUAAGAAUCCAAGGUAAUGAUCAAUAUGGACAGGCGGGGGCAUUCGUAUUGCGACGUUAGAGGUGAAAUUCUUGGAUCGUCGCAAGACGAACUAAAGCGAAAGCAUUUGCCAAGUAUGUCCAAAUUGAUCAAGAACGAAAGUUAGAGGCUCGAAGGCGAUCAGAUACCGCCCUAGUUCUAACCAUAAACGAUGCCAGCCAGAGAUCCGUCGAUGUUUUUUUCAUGACUCGACGGGCAACUUCCGGGAAACCAAAGCUUUUGGGUUCCGGGGGAAGUAUGGUUGCAAAGCUGNNNNUUAAAGGAAUUGACGGAAGGGCACCACAAGAUGUGGAGCCUGCGGCUUAAUUUGACUCAACACGGGAAACCUCACCAGGCCCAGACAUUGGAAGGAUUGACAGAUUGAUAGCUCUUUCUUGAUUCAGUGGGUAGUGGUGCGUUGGUGGAUCGAUUUGUCUGGUUAAUUCCGAUAACGAACGAGACUCUAGCUUAUUAACUAGGCGUCUGGUAUUUUUGCUACCAGCGUCUUUUUUCUUCUUAAAAGGACAGGCUGCUAUGAGCAGCACGAGAUUGAGCAAUAACAGGUCAGUGAUGCCCUUAGAUGUUCUGGGCCGCACGCGCGCUACACUGAAGGAAUCAGCGUGUGUUUCCCUGUCUGAAAGGUCCGGGUAACCCGCUGAACCUCCUUCGUGCUAGGAAUUGGGGCUUGCAAUUAUUCCCCAUAAACGAGGAAUAUCCAGUAAGCGCGAGUCAUAAGCUCGCGUUGAUUACGUCCCUGCCCUUUGUACACACCGCCCGUCGCUGUUACCGAUUGAAUGAUUUAGUGAGGUCUUCAGACUGGCAAAAAAACCACUACCUUUAUGGUAGUACGAUUUUUGCUGGAAAGAUGACCAAACUUGAUUAUUUAGAGGAAACAAAAGUCGUAACAAGG